rnacentral:rRNA from 1 species
AACGAACGCUGGCGGCAUGCCUAACACAUGCAAGUCGAACGAGACCUUCGGGUCUAGUGGCGCACGGGUGCGUAACGUGUGGGAACCUGCCCUUAGGUUCGGAAUAACUCCCCGAAAGGGGUGCUAAUACCGGAUAAUGUCUUCGGACCAAAGAUUUAUCGCCUUUGGAUGGGCCCGCGUUGGAUUAGCUAGUUGGUAGGGUAAAAGCCUACCAAGGCGACGAUCCAUAGCUGGUCUGAGAGGAUGAUCAGCCACACUGGGACUGAGACACGGCCCAGACUCCUACGGGAGGCAGCAGUGGGGAAUAUUGGACAAUGGGCGAAAGCCUGAUCCAGCAAUGCCGCGUGAGUGAUGAAGGCCUUAGGGUUGUAAAGCUCUUUUAACCGGGAUGAUAAUGACAGUACCGGGAGAAUAAGCUCCGGCUAACUCCGUG